rnacentral:rRNA from 1 species
GACGAACGCUGGCGGCGCGCUUAACACAUGCAAGUCGCACGGUAAGGCCCUUUCGGGGGUACACGAGUGGCGAACGGGUGAGUAACACGUGAGUAACCUGCCCACAACUUUGGGAUAACGCUAGGAAACUGGUGCUAAUACUGGAUAUGUGCUCCUGCUGCAUGGUGGGGGUUGGAAAGCUCCGGCGGUUGUGGAUGGACUCGCGGCCUAUCAGCUUGUUGGUGGGGUAGUGGCCUACCAAGGCGGCGACGGGUAGCCGGCCUGAGAGGGUGACCGGCCACAUUGGGACUGAGAUACGGCCCAGACUCCUACGGGAGGCAGCAGUGGGGAAUAUUGCACAAUGGGCGCAAGCCUGAUGCAGCAACGCCGCGUGCGGGAUGACGGCCUUCGGGUUGUAAACCGCUUUCAGCAGGGACGAAGCUUUUUGUGACGGUACCUGCAGAAGAAGCACCGGCUAACUACG